rnacentral:misc_RNA from 1 species
AAGUCGUAACAAGGUUUCCGUAGGUGAACCUGCGGAAGGAUCAUUAACACGUAUCCAAACGUUAAAACCCCCCCCGUGAACCUUCAUCCUGCUCUUGUAACCCGCGUAGUUCGCAAUCUCUGAUAAAUCAUAGCCCGGAAAGUUGUAGUGAUUCAGAGACCUCUGGCUACGUGCGAACAUUGGAACAGUUACAAUCGAGCGGUAGUUCUAUAGGCAAUGUUUCCCCAAGCAGUCAGCGCUUCUACAAUUCCUGUAGACCGUACACUCGGGCAGGAGCUUUGCCAAAGGGUGCCCCCUAAUAACCCCACAGUUUAAUGUGAAGCUCAAUGUAAUACAUUGGGUAAAAAAACCGAACAACUGUUAACAAUGGAUUUCUUGGUUCUC